ACUAUCAUAUAUUGUAUUUAAUUAUUAACCAAACUAUAUUAUUUAUUCAUAAAUAAUUAAUUACAAUUUUAAAUAAACAAAAAUAAAUUUAAACUCAAUAAUAAAAUUGAUUUCAAAGCAAAAUAGAAAAAUAAAAUAUUUAACUUAUUGUAAAACAAUAAAAAAAUUGAAAAAAGUGUUUCUAUAUAAAGAUCAAUCCAAAAAGGAUAAAACAGCCGUCAGUAGAUGAUGGUGGGGUUGUCUAAGGAAAGUAGGAACAAAGAAUAACGAGAGGAUGGUAGAACAUAGUGAAUCAGGUUGUGAAGAAGCACAAAGUGUUAAAAAUCAACAAGAUGUUGCUAAUUUAUUCAAAGCUUCAAACCAUAGCAAUAAUUACAAUAACGAAACAAUAAAAAAUUUAAAUCGUUUCUCAUUAUUCAAGUGGUUCAAACCCAAAGCCAACGAAAAAAUUGAAUCACAUGAUUCGAGUGCUUGUUCCAGUACAUCAAGUGUCGAUACACUGUACAGUACCACAACAGUACGUAGUUUUGCAUUUCAUUCCGGUUCAAAAAAUAAAAAUGUUGAAACAGUGACUCUCGAUUUACUCAAACACAAUAAUCAAGAUUUGGGACCUUUUGGCUCUGGUGCUUCGAAAAUAGUUCAUAAAAAUAAUAAUGAUCAUUUAGAUCCAUCUUUAGAUGUCACACGGACGUUACCAGCUCACGUUUUAUCACAAAAACGUGAUAUAACAACACGCUAUUCAUUGCAAACUUGUUCAACAAAUUUUGGUUCUUGUGACAAUAUCACUCAAGCUCACAAUUUAAUCGACAAUAAUUAUUCACUGAACAAAAAUUAUGUAAGAAAAAGAUUACAUGUGAAAGGUAAAAGACGUGCACCUCAACCCCCAAGACCGAAAAGUGUUUGUGAUAGUAUAAGUAAUAGUGCCGAAAGACGUAAACGUCAAGCACCAAAACCACCAGGUUGGAACAAAAUUGAUCUGAUGGACAAAAAAAAUUUUGGAAAAGAUAAUCAUUCGAAUCAUAAAUGUAGUGAUCAAAUUGAUGCCAGACAAGAAGUAAUGAUGAAUAAAGAAGUCAAUUAUGACAAAAAAUACCAGCAAAAUCAAUCAUCAAUAAGCAAUGACACCCUGGUAUUACGCGGCGGUGUUUUGGUAGCAAAGAAAGAAAAUCUGUUGAACAAAACAACAAGUCCGAUAAAAAUAACAGCAACACCAAAGCCUUGGUACAAACGUAGUGUAUUUGAGACGAAAAAAAUUGAUAGAGAUAGCAGUAGUUUUGAUGACAAUGAUCCAUUGACAACAAAAAUAAAUUUUUUUUAUCGUGAUAAAACAGAAAUUAAAGACGAUAAGCGUAAAGAUAAGGAUAAAGACACUAAAAGAAAAUCUGGAUUGUGUAUAUUGACAAAUAUAAGUGAACUAGACAAAGAAGCUGCGGCAAUCGUUCAAGAAGAACAAGCUAAGACACGUGCUGCGAUACGCCAACAGCAAUUUAAUGGGUCGGAUAAUAUUGAUAAGUAUAAUGAUAAUCAAGAAGAAAUAGUUCAAGAUAUUGUUACAUCUUCUAUUGAAAACUCACCGAAACGUGGCACACGUGCUUUGAUUUCAAAGUUUAAUGCCAUUGGUAAUAUAACCAAAGUUACCGUUAAUUCAAAUUUUUUUAAUAAAAAUUUGCCGUCACCAAAAUUAGAUCGUAAUUGGAAUUCCGCAGGAUCAUCUGCGAAUAAAGAUCGCGUUGAACCACCAGAUUUAUCACGUUAUUUUCCGGAUAAAAAUAAAACCAAGACCACCCAAAGUGCUAUCAAUGCUUCUCGUACGUCAUUUUUGCAAAGUACGCUAACGGUUAAUACUCCGGAUCAAAAAAUAACGGAACCGCAUAAAUUGAUAAAUGACGUUACUAAUAGAUUAACUGCAUUGCAAAGUAUUGUUGCGACAAACUCAUCAAAAGAAAGUACAAUGAGGACUCACAGUCCUAUUUUUUACCGUCGUGAUAAAAAAGUUUUAGAUGAACAAAUAAUUGAUUACAAAAGUUCACCAAAAGUUUAUCGCGCUCAUGAUAAAACCAAAAGUAAAGAUAUACAAAAUGAAUUUAGUGAUUUGUUUAAAGAAAUUGAUCGUCAACUAAAUUUCGAUAUUAAAAAUGAAGAAUCGCACAUGAAGACGACAAAUGAUUCAAAUAAUUCAGCCGCGUCAAAAGUAAGUAAAGUUUUAGAUAUUUUAGUCGAAGCUGAAGGAAUUAAAAAUAAAACGGAUGGUGAUCAUAAGAGAUUUGAUAAAAAUAGUAAAGCUGUUACGAAUAUAUGUGAUGACAAAGUUACUGAUUUAAAGGAAAUGCUUAAAGAAAUGAAACAUUCACUACCUAAGCGGCCUAAGGCGAGAAAUAAAACCAGAGAAUUUAGUAAAAAUUUGGAAACGACGAAUUUGUGUGACUCGAUUAUUAUUUCAAACCCGCCGGUUAUUCAAAUCGGCCCUUCAACAUCGAUAUCGGCGUCAGCGUCGGUGUCGAUGACGUCGUCAUCAUCAUCAUUUGGAAAUAAAGAUGAGAGAAAUCAAGAAACGGACAAAGGCAAAGUAUCGUCGGGUGUUCAAACUAGUGGCAAUUUACGGAGAGUAACUAAUAAUUCAGUAUUAACUGCGGUACCGUCGACCUCACAACAAUGGAAAAAUGAUGUUAUUUAUCGUACAAAUGGUAGAUCAUCGAAGAACAGGGGAUUAGUUAAAAAUAGAUUUCAAUUAAUGCGCCCGCGGGAAUUCGCGGCCAUCGAAGCCAUUAAAACAAUGAAAAUAACUAAUCAAUCAAAGAGUGAGGAUGAUGAUAAUAAUACGUAUGCUAAUGUUAUGGAACAAUCGCUUUACGCAAAUGCUUUGGUAUUACCGUCAAGAAAUCAUCAGAUUAUUUCUAAUAGUAGAAUAAUUAUUGAUGGUAAUGAUAGGGAUGAUUUUAUAAAAAAAAAAGAUAAAAUUCCAGUACCUGAUUUUACAAGUGAUGAUAAUAAAUAUCCAGUGGAAUUUUUGGAGGCCUCUGGAAGUAAAGAUAAUGAAGAAGAAAUAACACAAAAUAUGAAUACGUUGGCUGUUAAUCGUUUAUUAAAGAAAUUAGAAGGUGCAAUAGCAUCAGGUAAUCACCAAAAAGCCGCUGGAUUCGCCAAAGAACUAGCACAUCUCAAAAUUCAGUGUUCAGUAGUAAGACAACGACCUAAAAUCGAUGAUUUAUUAAACGUCGACAUGUACAUCGAAGAUAGAUUAGCCCACCAAGGACCAAUACCACUUCAGCUUCCGAUAACCAUGACGGUAAGACAAUUGAAAGUUAAAAUUUUCAAUGAGUUUGAAAUACCAGCAAAUGUACAAAGAUGGAUUAUUGGAAAAACUUUAGCAGAAAACGACGACGCAACGCUUGAGGAUCUUAAAGCUAUUGAAGGAACUCCUGUUUUUCUUUAUCUCGUCGCUCCAGAUUUACAGAUCGCUGACAUAAAUAAUAAACAAUUUAAUAAGGUAUUGGAUCAAAACCAUUUAACUGAACGACUUCUGACCAUUGAUAAUUAUAGUAAUAAUAAUAAUGAUGAUAGUGAUAAUGAUAAGAUUAAACAUAAGAAAAAAAUAAGUCAAUUAGACAUAGAAAAAAAAGAUAAUCAUCAAAUUAAUUUGACAGACGAAAAAAAUAAGGAAAAAUAUUUAUCGAAGUCAGUUGACCCAGUAAAAAAAAGUUCACUAAUUUUCAAUGUCAAAAAAUCUGAGGCGGUAGAUGAUGAUGAUGAUGAACGGAAGAAAAUUGACAAUUUUUUAGAAACUAAUAAAAAAAUAGAGUUAAAAAAUAUGAACGAAGUUUGUUUGGUAAACAAACAAGUGGAGGCGGGUCUGGAAGAGGGUAAAAUUAUUUUUGAUAAUCAAGUUAUUGAAGGAGCAGCAGCUUUACCAAAAAAUAAUAUUAAUAAUAAUAAUAAUAAUAAUAAUAAUAAUAAUAAUAAUAAUAAUAAUAAUAAUAAUAAUAAUAAUAAUAAUAAUAAUAAUAAUAAUAAUAAUAAUAAUAAUAAUAAUAAUAAUAACAAUAGAAUGGAACAGUACACACAAUUGAUGAUGCUUGAAAAUUGUGAAAUUGUUUUAAAUGUUGAGCCUAUCGAGUGCCCAAUUUGUUUUGUUGUUUAUGAUCCACUUGAAGGUGUGGUACUCAGAGAUUGUUUGCAUUCAUUUUGCAGGGGAUGUAUUGAAAACACAAUUAAAUAUUGCAAUGAAGCGGAAGUAAAAUGUCCAUAUCGAGACUCUGAAUAUACCUGCGAAUCGACGCUGCAGGAGCGUGAGAUAAAAGCUCUGGUGAAUCCGCAAACUUAUGAACAACAUUUAGCUAAAUCAGUAGCACAGGCUGAAAAUAAUGCCGGACAUAAUGCAUUUCAUUGUAAGACACCCGAUUGUCCAGGCUGGUGUAUUUAUGACGAUAAUGUUAAUAACUUUUUGUGCCCUGUGUGCAAUAAAAAUAAUUGCUUAACAUGUCGGGUAAUACAUGAAGGCAAAAAUUGCUUUGAAUACCAAGAUGACGUAAGAAUAUCUAAAGAAAGUGAUCAGGAAUCAAAACGUACUGCAGCAAUGUUAGCUGAAAUGUUGAGACGUGGCGAAGCAAUGGCAUGUCCAACUUGUGAUGUUGUGUUGAUGAAAAAAAUGGGAUGCGAUUGGCUGAGAUGUUCAAUGUGUAAAACUGAAAUUUGUUGGGUUACUAAAGGACCACGUUGGGGACCUGCUGGCAAUGGUGAUACGUCAGGAGGAUGUCGAUGUGGACAAAACGGAAUAAAAUGUCAUCCUUGCUGCAAUUACUGUCAUUAAAUAAUUGAUUAUUUAUUUUUUACUUACAAAGUUAUCAUUUUUCACUACAAUUUAAUGUACAUUAAAUAUUUAUACAUAUUUAACACCACUUUAUUAUUAUACAUAUAUAAUAUAAGUCAAUCAGUGAUGUCAAUAAUACACAAGAUUUCUGAUGUAUUUGGUGAUGUUAUCAUCCGGCUCUACCUAUUCAAGCAUUGGACAAUUGAUGGAGAAACUAGUUUAACAUCUGUAUAAAGUUGAGCUGAUUGUUCAUAAGAGGGAAAUUUAUAAUGAAGCUCUUUACAUCCAUAGAAAAUGAUGGAAUAUUGCUGAAUUAAUCAGAAAAAGGCAAUGUAAGGUCUACUGAAACAUAGUUUAUUAUCCAUUGCAUAUAAAUAGAUCUACUGUAUCAAGAAGCUAUUCCGUCGGCGUGGAAGAAAUUGGACAGGGUAUUUAAUGCUUUUGAUCUCAUUGUAUUAACGCUUCGACCGUAACAGGGAACAGUUGAAUCAGCAAAGUCAAUAUCACGUUGGGACGAAAGAUUUUACCCCAAUGAACCGGAGAACAGUAAUAUGAUCUGUCAUCACCCGGAAGAAAUGACCGUCGACACGUCAAAGCCUUCUCUUUAUCAAAACAUUAGAAGUAAAAUUGAAUACAAGAACAAUCGACUACCUUUGAUGAUCUAACUGGACUCACUCUACAUUGAUCCGACCUGGAAAAAUUUUAAUGCGUUCGUGUCCGACUGAAGUUUUUUGUCUCCAGGAAGUUGAGAAAUUGCGUAUAUUGAAUUCAAUUAAAUGGAGAUAAAAAUUGAAGUAGAGCCUGACGUAGCUCAAUAUCCAGCUACGUCAAGGCACAAUUAAUAAUUAAAUUUUAUAAAUUUUAUUUAAAAAUUUUUUUAAAACCUAUCAAUAGAUAAUCAUCAACUUAAACCAUUUCCAAAAAUUAUCUAAAUGCGAUAGCGUAAAUUUUGAAAGUCCAAAUAAUCAUAUUUUUUUUUUAACUAAGAAACGCACAGUAUUUAUAAGCAUUUAAUUACGAAGACAAUCUUUACCAAAGCUACCUAAUUAAAGUAAGAUGAUUUUUUUUUUGUUGAAUAAUCAAUAACCGAGGCCAAUAUUUAUAAAAAUGAUUGUAUAGAUGUAUACUAAUAUAGAAAAAUUACAUUGUUGACUGUCUAUUGUAUUAACAUAUUCACGUUUGAAU